rnacentral:rRNA from 1 species
GAUGAACGCUGGCGGCGUGCCUAAUACAUGCAAGUCGAGCGAACAGACGAGGAGCUUGCUCCUCUGACGUUAGCGGCGGACGGGUGAGUAACACGUGGAUAACCUACCUAUAAGACUGGGAUAACUUCGGGAAACCGGAGCUAAUACCGGAUAAUAUAUUGAACCGCAUGGUUCAAUAGUGAAAGACGGUUUUGCUGUCUCUUAUAGAUGGAUCCGCGCCGCAUUAGCUAGUUGGUAAGGUAACGGCUUACCAAGGCAACGAUGCGUAGCCGACCUGAGAGGGUGAUCGGCCACACUGGAACUGAGACACGGUCCAGACUCCGACGGGAGGCAGCAGUAGGGAAUCUUCCGCAAUGGGCGAAAGCCUGACGGAGCAACGCCGCGUGAGUGAUGAAGGUCUUCGGAUCGUAAAACUCUGUUAUUAGGGAAGAACAAAUGUGUAAGUAACUAGGCACGUCUUGACGGUACCUAAUCAGAAAGCCACGGCUAACUACGUG